GGAAGUGACACUUGUGACUGAUAACCAGCCUGCCGGUUGGAUAGGGGGCCCCCUGCGCUCUGGGACAUCUGCAUGAUUUUGAUCGCCGUCACGGUGGUAUCCAAAUGCCAGCUCCACAAACCGUACAUGAUUAGUUUCGAUAUACUGCAGAGUGGGCUUUGUUAAGUGUAUUAUUUGCCGGUUAGAUAGGCAGACACUCAUCCAAUUAAACCUAGACAGACUUUCCAGUUAGUGUGGCUUUUCUGCGGUCUGCAAUGCCAAAUAUGUGCAGCUGCCUUUGUAUUUGAUCUCUGAAGUGACAUGGCUUGGAACUAUUGAAAGCGGCAAUCUAUUAUCAGACUUGUUACCAGGGUACAGCUCAAUUGCAUUGACAAAAAAUAAAAAGUCCUGCGGAGCUUUAAAGGAACACAUUUAAAAUUAAAAAAAAUGAGGAAAAAGAAUUUAGCAGGGGGCGAUGUUCUCUCAAUAGCUAGCCCGGUAUUUUAGGAUACACACUGGGCACUUAU